CACAGAUCAUUUUGCACAGAAGAGCCAGGCAAGCUGAAGAGAGGUGUCUGUGAGAGAGAGGAAUGCAAAGAGAAACACUCAUCACUUCUGAGGUGCUGUCUGUGCUUUUGUUUUAUCCUCUCAUUGUGUAUCUGAUGUCCAUUCCAGCUCUGGCUCUUAUAGCUACUCACGCAACUUCAAGAUAUAGAAUAAUAGAGGAAAGGCUUUGGCCCUUUCUCAUCUACCUUUUGGACUGGGCACGUACUGUACGCUCUUUACGAUGGAAAGAAUAAUUAGGAACCUUACAGUUGUCAGCUCUGGCAAAUAUGUCUUGAGUUUUACUAUGUGCACAUGAAAUUCCAGCCCACAGAGGUUUCCAGCUGAGGCUAAUGCUGUCCGGUUGGAUAACUGCUUCCAGAACCAGCCCAUCAAGGAUGAGCGGUCCAUCAGUUCUGUCAAAGGAGAAAUCAAGAAGGGUUUGGCCUGAAGGGGUAGAUGAAAUGUCACUGUGAUCUGAGGUGAAGAUGGCAGGAAAGGAGGUAUUUGACAUAUGCUUGUUUGAGCAAUGAAUGAUUCAUCUGUUGGAUUCUGAGCUUAGAAUACUAAAAGCGUAGAAUCAGCUACACUGGAAAAGACCUUUAAAAUCAUAAAGGCCAACUCUUACCCCAGGACUGCCAAGUCCACCAGUGAACUAUGUCACUGAGGGCAUCAUUUACAUGGUUUUUGAACACUUCCAAGGGCAGUGAUUCCACCACUUCCCUGGGCAGCCUGUUCCAAUGCCUGAUCACUCUCUCAGUGAAGAAUUUUUUCCUAAUAUCCAGGCUAAGCCUCCCCUGAUACAGCUUGUGGAUGUGGAUUGAGCUUGACUGGCUCUUGGAUUCUGAGCUUUGAAGAAUAUAGCUAUAUUCAAACAACAUAAGAAAAGUCUGAAGUGGACUCAGAGUUUAUUCAGAGCUCAUUCACCUGCUCUGCCAUCAUGGAUGCUCAGUCAUGCAUAUGUUACUCCUUCAUUCAGUCUGUUCAUCAAGAUCUCUGGUGGUGGACUCUGUUCCAAAGCCUCCUCAAGCAGGGUCUUUCUCUGAUUUAAAGUAUAUACUUCUGGAAAGUUGUUUUGAUCCAUAAGUAGGAUCCUUCCUUCUGCAUCAAAAGCCAGUACACUUGGUCCUAUCCACCAUGAGCACCAGGAUCAGACUGUCCCCUUAACACAGACUGCUUUUGAUUUUUAAAAUUCCAUCUUGAUCUCCUUCCUAGGUUAAACAGCAUUGAAAGGCCUGCUAAAAUCAAAUACACAACAAAUGCUGUCCGUCCUCUCCAAGGGGCCUGUUACUCUGCUGUAAAAGGAAAUGACAUUGGUUUGGCCUCAGUUUUGUUCCUGAAAAAUCAGUGGUGUUCCUUAUCUUCUUCUUCUUGCCUUUGAAGUCUUACAAAUCAGUUGCUUGAUUUUUAUUUUUUUUCCUGAUUUUUUUGGGGGGAUCUUCCUUCUCUCCCUUUUUCCAGCAAUGCAUUUUGAUUAUCGCUUUAAUUUCAGAUUAAAGACUUUAGCUUCUGUUUGAUAACUAUGAAAAAGUAAAAAUAAAUUAAGUGGAAAACC